UGCAAUCUAUGAUGAAUAUUGUUGAAUCAUUACUGAUAUAAAUAUGAUUAUCAUUAAACAUAUCACCAUCUUUCGGCUGAGAUUGCA